rnacentral:rRNA from 1 species
GAUGAACGCUAGCGGCAGGCCUAAUACAUGCAAGUCGAACGGGAUCCAGAUCAAAGCUUGCUUUGGUUUGGCGAGAGUGGCGCACGGGUGCGUAACGCGUGAGCAACCUACCCUUGUCAGGGGGAUAGCCCGGCGAAAGUCGGAUUAAUACCGCAUGACAUCAUUGAGAGGCAUCUUUCGAUGAUCAAAGAUUUAUCGGACAAGGAUGGGCUCGCGUGACAUUAGCUAGUUGGUAAGGUAACGGCUUACCAAGGCUACGAUGUCUAGGGGCUCUGAGAGGAGAAUCCCCCACACUGGUACUGAGACACGGACCAGACUCCUACGGGAGGCAGCAGUAAGGAAUAUUGGUCAAUGGACGGAAGUCUGAACCAGCCAUGCCGCGUGCAGGAAGACGGCCCUAUGGGUUGUAAACUGCUUUUAUACGGGAACAAACGUCGGUACGUGUACCGGUCUGAGUGUACCGUAAGAAUAAGGAUCGGCUAACUCCGUG